GGCUCAAUGGUCUAGUGGUAUGAUUGUCGCUUCGGGAUGUAACGCCUGGAUUCUACACGGAUUUGUAAUGUGACAGGCCCCGGGUUCGAAUCCCGGUUGAGCCC